ensembl:lncRNA
GUUCUGGCUCUUGGGCUCUGAGCGCAGGCUCAGAUAGUUGUGGUGCUUGGGGGUAAGCAGCUCCUCGGCCUGAGGGAUCUUCUGGGACCAGGGACCUCUUGCAUUGCAAGGUGGAUUCUUAACCCCUGGACCACCAGUGAAGCCUGUGAUUAAGUAGUGAAUUUCUCCCUGUGCCAUUGGAAAAGCCUGGAUCUGCAUCACCCAGGGGUAAAGGUCUAUGCAGUCCCUGGUGUGUGUGUCCUAAAGGUGAUGGGCUGGUGCCUCAGAGAGAGAGAGCUGAUCAAACUGAGAAGGAGGGCCUGACAUCCAACGUGAGAGGUAGCCGGCCUGGCCUCUUGAGUGCUAACACAGGAUCUGCGUUGCCCGGAAGGAGAAACAAAGGCUCAGAGAUGGAUGGCACCUGGCCAUGAUUACAGAGCUGUGACAGAGAGCACGGCCCAGCACCCAGCACUUCCCUCUCAGAACUGCAAACCCCUCUGGAAGUAGCCAUGACUGGAGAGUGCUGGUGCUCCUCCCCUUUCCAGAAGUUCAGGGGGACCCCCAGGACUGGCUACUGUCUCACUGCAGGAUGGAAUAAAUGGCUGGGACGCGCAGAAGGGGCCCCGCCAGCUCGCAGGCAAGUUCAGAGCUCGGCAUCUGGCAUCCGCCAGCCCCGGAGAAAGUGGUGAGGCGGAGAAAGCGGCUCCCUCGGCGCCUGGGCCGCCGAGGAGGUCGAAGGGCUCAAGAGCCAAGUGCAGCCAUGCGGUCCAUGUCAGCGCCUCCCGGAACCCUUGGGUGUGCGUGGAUUUGGGCCGCUGCUGGACCAUGGAGCGUGGCCCUGUGGCAACUAACUCCCUCUUUUUGCCUGGACCGUGGUUUCCAAAGCCCCUCAGAAAAAAGCCCCUGCUACCCUCCCACCGCUCCCCUUCUCCUUGGCAGAAGGCAAGGCCGGCUAGUUGGGCAUUCAGCUUGGGUUGUGCAUAUCCACCAAUCGCAACAGACUAAAUAGCGGUUUGAAGUGUUCCCAGCACACACAGCUGGAGAGGGCGAGGGGAGAGAAGGGAGCCGGAACGCGGGCGCCCGGCACCUGUUGAAGGCUACGGAGAGGGAGAAACGCGCACAGGCGGACCAUUUGGUGACGCGGCUCGCAGCCCGGGAGGAAACUCGCGAGGGGCUCCGCCGAGCGA